rnacentral:SRP_RNA from 4 species
UAUUGGUUCUCCCGCAACGCUAUCUUGUGUAAUGGGUCAGGUCCGGAAGGAAGCAGCCCCCGCUUGGGACGUGUGUGCCGGGAUGUAGCUGGUAGGG